UACGCAGGGUGCAAGCGUUACUCGGAAUUACUGGGCGUAAAGCGUGCGCAGGCGGUUUCGUAAGUCUGUCGUGAAAUCCCCGGGCUUAACCUGGGAAUGGCGAUGGAGACUGCGAGGCUAGAGUUUGGCAGAGGGGGGUAGAAUUCCACGUGUAGCAGUGAAAUGCGUAGAGAUGUGGAGGAACACCGAUGGCGAAGGCAGCCCCCUGGGUCAAAACUGACGCUCAUGCACGAAAGCGUGGGGAGCAAACAGG
rnacentral:rRNA from 1 species